GGCCCCAUCGUCUAGCCCGGCCUAGGAUACCAGGUUUUCAUCCUGAUGACAGGGGUUCGAAUCCCCUUGGGGUCA
rnacentral:tRNA from 1 species